CAGAUGGAGAGAGGAAACUGUAUGAGAGAGGGAAUGGGAAGGGGACUGGGGAAGGUUCAGGAUUAAGUGUGGGGAGAGACAGAAGAGAGAGGGCCAGAGGGCUGGCCGAGAUAAUGAAUGAAAAUUUGCAGCUGGUAGAGAUGGGGGUGGGAGGGCAUCUCUAGGAUGUACUAGAGAUGUGAGAUGGGAAAAACUACCAGGAGUCUAGAAGGUGUCUUUAGGGGAGACUUGUAGCAUACAGAUUUGAAAUCUGAAGUGGCCAUGUCUCAUAGCCAGGCAGAACCCCUAGUGGAGAGAUAAGGACACCAACUCACCCACAAGACUUUUGACUGAAAAUUUGUCCUGUCUACAAUAAAUGUAGGGAAAAAUAUAAAGCAGAGACUGGGAGGAAUGGCUAAUCAAAAACUGGCCCAACUUGAGACCGAUCCCAAGAGCAAAUACCACCACCUCCACCCCUGGUACUACUAAUGAUCACUCUAUUAUGCUUGCAGACAGGAGCCUAGCACAACUGUCCUCUGAGAGGCUCCACCCAGUAACUAACUUAACCAGAUGCAGAAACCCACAGCCAAACAUUGGACAGAGCUGGGCGAUUCUUAUGGAAGACCUGAGUAUUUUUCGGAUGAUCUUGAUGGAUGGCAGCAGGACUUCUGCAGAAGGUCAUGGAUGUGCUUCAGUCAGACCCUACUGGCAAGGGAUUGGUGAGGUACUGUUACAAGCAAGUAGUUCUUAAGACUCCAAAAGCUCCAAUUGCA
rnacentral:lncRNA from 1 species